rnacentral:rRNA from 1 species
CCUACGGGUGGCUGCAGUGGGGAAUAUUGCACAAUGGGCGCAAGCCUGAUGCAGCCAUGCCGCGUGUGUGAAGAAGGCCUUCGGGUUGUAAAGCACUUUCAGCGGGGAGGAAGGCGGUGAGGUUAUAACCUCAUCGAUUGACGUUACCCGCAGAAGAAGCACCGGCUAACUCCGUGCCAGCAGCCGCGGUAAUACGGAGGGUGCAAGCGUUAAUCGGAAUUACUGGGCGUAAAGCGCACGCAGGCGGUCUGUCAAGUCGGAUGUGAAAUCCCCGGGCUCAACCUGGGAACUGCAUUCGAAACUGGCAGGCUAGAGUCUUGUAGAGGGGGGUAGAAUUCCAGGUGUAGCGGUGAAAUGCGUAGAGAUCUGGAGGAAUACCGGUGGCGAAGGCGGCCCCCUGGACAAAGACUGACGCUCAGGUGCGAAAGCGUGGGGAGCAAACAGGAUUAGAUACCCCUGUAGUC